UACGAAGGGGGCUAGCGUUGCUCGGAAUCACUGGGCGUAAAGGGUGCGUAGGCGGGUCUUUAAGUCAGGGGUGAAAUCCUGGAGCUCAACUCCAGAACUGCCUUUGAUACUGAGGAUCUUGAGUCAGGGAGAGGUUGAUGGAAUUCCAGGUGUAGCGGUGAAAUGCGUAGAUAUCUGGAAGAACACCGGUGGCGAAGGCGGUCAACUGGCCCUCGACUGACGCUGAGGCACGAAAGCGUGGGGAUCAAACAGG
rnacentral:rRNA from 1 species